rnacentral:rRNA from 1 species
GGAUUAGAUACCCUGGUAGUCCACGCCGUAAACGAUGACAACUAGCUGUUGGGAGACAAGAUCUCUCAGUGGCGCAGCUAACGCUUUAAGUUGUCCGCCUGGGGAGUACGGCCGCAAGGUUAAAACUCAAAUGAAUUGACGGGGACCCGCACAAGCGGUGGAGCAUGUGGUUUAAUUCGAUGCAACGCGAAAAACCUUACCUACUCUUGACAUACUUGGAAGCUCUUGUAAUGAGAGUGUGCUUUUAGAGCCAAGAUACAGGUGCUGCAUGGCUGUCGUCAGCUCGUGCCG